rnacentral:rRNA from 1 species
UAGGGAAUCUUCCACAAUGGACGCAAGUCUGAUGGAGCAACGCCGCGUGAGUGAAGAAGGUUUUCGGAUCGUAAAGCUCUGUUGUUGGUGAAGAAGGAUAGAGGUAGUAACUGGCCUUUAUUUGACGGUAAUCAACCAGAAAGUCACGGCUAACUACGUGCCAGCAGCCGCGGUAAUACGUAGGUGGCAAGCGUUGUCCGGAUUUAUUGGGCGUAAAGCGAGCGCAGGCGGAAGAAUAAGUCUGAUGUGAAAGCCCUCGGCUUAACCGAGGAACUGCAUCGGAAACUGUUUUUCUUGAGUGCAGAAGAGGAGAGUGGAACUCCAUGUGUAGCGGUGGAAUGCGUAGAUAUAUGGAAGAACACCAGUGGCGAAGGCGACUCUCUUGUCUGCAACUGACGCUGAGGCUCGAAAGCAUGGGUAGCGAACAGG